UAAAGUCUUAAGUUAAAUAAACUAUUAGCCUUCAAAGUUGAAAAUGAGAAAUUUUAGACUUU
rnacentral:tRNA from 1 species